GAGAGCUGGGUCUUUGCGGGCAAGAUGAGGGUGUCAGUUCAACUGGCCUACAAAGUCCCAGUCCUC
ensembl:miRNA Mir193a microRNA 193a